rnacentral:ncRNA from 1 species
GACAGAAUUGGGGUCCGAGGUGCCCGCAUCGUGCGGGAGAAUUGGGAAGCCGGUGCAAGUCCGGCGCUGCCCCCGCAACGGUAAGGAUGGGGGAUGCGGCCUUGGCCACUGGAUCGCGUCAUGAUCCGGGAAGGCGCCGCAUCCGAUCCCGCCAAGCCCGGAAACCAGCCUUGGACCAACGUCAAGC